GCCACUUUAGCUCAGUUGGUAGAGCAGCGCAUUCGUAAUGCGCAGGUCGAGGGUUCGAACCCCUUGAGUGGCUCCA
rnacentral:tRNA from 2 species